GACGGAGGAUGCAAGCGUUAUCCGGAAUGAUUGGGCGUAAAGCGUCCGCAGGUGGCUAGUCAAGUCUGCUGUCAAAGCGUGAGGCUUAACCUCAUACAGGCAGUAGAACCUGACCCGCUAGAGGGUGGUAGGGGUAGAGGGAAUUCCCAGUGUAGCGGUGAAAUGCGUAGAUAUUGGGAAGAACACCAGUGGCGAAAGCGCUCUACUGGGCCACACCUGACACUGAGGGACGAAAGCUCGGGGAGCGAAAGGG
rnacentral:rRNA from 1 species